rnacentral:rRNA from 1 species
AUGGGGCUGUCUGCCGCCGCCGGUCCAUCAGUCCUCGGGAGGAGCCUGAGGAGAGCCGCGAUGUCCUCCACCAAUGGCGAGGGUGGCUCGGCCACCCCCAAGACGAUGGGCACGUUCACGCUGCCCGCGGCCUUCAGAGUGCGGCCGUCGUGCGUAGACGUGAUGGUCGCGGCGGCCACGAGGAAGAGAAUGGCGAGAAUUGCGAGCCGAGCCAUGGCUGAGCUUUGGGAGAUUUUGGUCCCCAUUCCCGUCCGCAUCCCUGCCGCCGCCGCCGCCCUCCCAAUUCCCUCCGCUCCUGCUGCUUCCCUCCACCUCUCCCUCCUCCACGCCGUCAGGGGCGCCCUUCAAGCCCCACCUCGUCGGUUCCCCACCCCGAGCUCCUUCUCCCCCAUCCCGGGCGAGCACUGGAUAGGCAGAGGGAGUGCCUUGGUCGAGGGACAACGAGGCUCGCCGGCUGGGCGACUUCGAGCGCUGGAGGCUAGACAGGCACAGGCAGGAGCGGAUCCAUGUAGGGGCAUGGGUGCCGUCGCGCCAUUGAAGGCCUCCACGACGCCCUCUACCAGCUCGCACUAUUGCUCCGGAAAAUUCCCUUUGGAAUUGGGGAUGAAGGAAUCGAUUUCGAUUGAUUGGCGCCCCGCAGACGACGGGCGUGGGACGCCGCGGGAGGCGUGCCGCAUUCGAGAGCCACCGUGGAUUAUCUUCGAGGUGUCAGGCGACAUUCGCCUCGAGACCUACCUCCGGGUCUCUUCCCACAUGACCAUUGACGGGCGCGGGUAG